rfam:Salmo salar isolate Sally breed double haploid chromosome ssa26, whole genome shotgun sequence.
UGCAUUCACUACUGUAAGUCGCUCUGGAUAAGAGCGUCUGCUAAAUAAAUGAAA